rnacentral:rRNA from 1 species
GACGAACGCUGGCGGCGUGCUUAACACAUGCAAGUCGAACGGUAAGGCCCUUCGGGGUACACGAGUGGCGAACGGGUGAGUAACACGUGGGUGAUCUGCCCUGCACUUCGGGAUAAGCCUGGGAAACUGGGUCUAAUACCGGAUAGGACUCCGGACUGCAUGGUCUGAGGUGGAAAGCUUUUGCGGUGUGGGAUGGGCCUGCGGCCUAUCAGCUUGUUGGUGGGGUGAUGGCCUACCAAGGCGACGACGGGUAGCCGGCCUGAGAGGGUGACCGGCCACACUGGGACUGAGAUACGGCCCAGACUCCUACGGGAGGCAGCAGUGGGGAAUAUUGCACAAUGGGCGCAAGCCUGAUGCAGCGACGCCGCGUGAGGGAUGACGGCCUUCGGGUUGUAAACCUCUUUCAGCAUCGACGAAGCGAAAGUGACGGUAGGUGCAGAAGAAGGACCGGCCAACUACGUGCCAGCAGCCGCGGUAA